UACGUAGGGUGCAAGCGUUGUCCGGAAUUAUUGGGCGUAAAGAGCUCGUAGGCGGUCUGUCGCGUCUGCUGUGAAAACUCAGGGCUUAACCCUGAGCUUGCAGUGGGUACGGGCAGACUAGAGUGCGGUAGGGGAGACUGGAAUUCCUGGUGUAGCGGUGAAAUGCGCAGAUAUCAGGGAGGGAACACCCGGUGGGCCGAA
rnacentral:rRNA from 1 species